rnacentral:rRNA from 1 species
CCUACGGGAGGCAGCAGUGGGGGAUAUUGCACAAUGGGGGAAACCCUGAUGCAGCGACGCCGCGUGGGUGAAGAAGCGCCUCGGCGCGUAAAGCCCUGUCAGCAGGGAAGAAAAUGACGGUACCUGAAGAAGAAGCCCCGGCUAACUACGUGCCAGCAGCCGCGGUAAUACGUAGGGGGCAAGCGUUAUCCGGAAUUACUGGGUGUAAAGGGGGCGGAGACGGCGAUGCAAGCCAGGAGGGAAAGCCCGGGGCCCAACCCCGGGACUGCUCUUGGAACUGCGUGGCUAGGGUGCAGGAGGGGCAGGCGGAAUUCCUGGUGUAACGGUGAAAUGCGUAGAUAUCAGGAGGAACACCGGAGGCGAAGGCGGCCUGCUGAACUGCAACUGACGUUGAGGCCCGAAAGCGUGGGGAGCAAACAGGAUUAGAUACCCUAGUAGUC